rnacentral:tRNA from 1 species
GGGCGCUUAGCUCAGUUGGUUUAGAGCGCCUGCCUUACAAGCAGGAGGUCACUGGUUCGAAUCCAGUAGCGCCCA